rnacentral:rRNA from 1 species
UACGUAGGUGGCAAGCGUUGUCCGGAUUUACUGGGCGUAAAGAGCGCGCAGGCGGUCGUUCAAGUCGCGUGUGAAAGCCCCCGGCUCAACUGGGGAGGGUCACGCGAUACUGAUCGACUCGAAGGCAGGAGAGGGUAGUGGAAUUCCCGGUGUAGUGGUGAAAUGCGUAGAUAUCGGGAGGAACUCCAGUGGCGAAGGCGACUACCUGGCCUGUUUCUUGACGCUGAGGCGCGAAAGCUAGGGGAGCAAACGGG